AUGUCCCCAUUUCCCUUCAGACUCCCCAUGGGCUGCAGGCUGUUCUGCUGUGUGGUCCUCUGUCUCCUGGUGGAAGUCCCAGUGAACACCGAAAUCACGCAGACGCCCAAGUACCUCAUCAUGGGAAUGACAAGCAAGAAGACAUUGAAGUGCAAGCAAGACAUGGGACACAACGCUAUGUAUUGGUAUAAGCAGAGUCCUCAGGUCCCGCUGGACCUCAUGUUUAUCUACAAUUUUAAGAACCUUCUUGAAAACAAGACCGUUUCAAGUCGCUUCUCACCUGAAUGCCCAGAUAGCUCCCAGCUCUACCUUCACGUGGGUGCCCUGAACCCAGAAGACUCGGCCUUGUACCUCUGCGCCAGCAGCAAAGACACAGCCCUGCAGAGUCCGUUUCUCCCCGUGCACAAAGCCCCUGGGCUCUGCCAGGAAGCUGGGGCGUUGGAGGGGUAG